AACGCGAAGAACCUUACCUGGGUUUGACAUCCUCGGACAACUCUAGAGAUAGAGCUUCUCCUUCGGGAGCCGAGAGACAGGUGCUGCAUGGCUGUCGUCAGCUCGUAUCGUGAGAUGUCGGGUUAAGUCCCUUAACGAGCGCAACCCUUAUUCCUAGUUGCCAUCAUUCAGUUGGGCACUCUAGGGAGACUGCCGGUGUUAAACCGGAGGAAGGUGGGGAUGACGUCAAGUCCUCAUGGCCUUUAUAUCCAGGGCUACACACGUGCUACAAUGGCCGGUACAAAGGGUUGCUAACCUGUGAGGGGGAGCUAAUCUCAGAAAGCCGGUCUCAGUUCGGAUUGAAGUCUGCAAUUCGACUUCAUGAAGCUGGAAUCGCUAGUAAUCGCGGAUCAGAACGCCGCGGUGAAUACGUUCCCGGGCCUUGUACACACCGAGACGUA
rnacentral:rRNA from 1 species